rnacentral:rRNA from 1 species
AGUUUGAUCCUGGCUCGGAUGAACGCUAGCGACAGGCUUAACACAUGCAAGUCGAGGGGCAGCGGGGUUGUAGCAAUACAACUGCCGGCGACCGGCGCACGGGUGAGUAACACGUAUGUAACCUGCCCUCUGCAGGGGGAUAAGCGGAAGAAAUUCCGUCUAAUACCGCAUAAUACAAUUUGGAGACAUCUCCGGGUUGUCAAAGGAGUGAUCCGGCAGAGGAUGGACAUGCGGCGCAUUAGCUAGUCGGCGGGUAACGGCCCACCGAGGCUACGAUGCGUAGGGGCUCUGAGAGGAAGGUCCCCCACACUGGUACUGAUACACGGACCAGACUCCUACGGGAGGCAGCAGUGAGGAAUAUUGGUCAAUGGGCGGAAGCCUGAACCAGCCAAGUCGCGUGAGGGAAGACGGUCCUAUGGAUUGUAAACCUCUUUUGCAGGGGAGCAAGGCGCGGUACGUGUACCGCGAAGGAGAGUACCCUGAGAAAAAGCAUCGGCUAACUCCGUG